AUUGAACGCUGGCGGCAUGCCUUACACAUGCAAGUCGAACGGUAACAGGUCUUCGGAUGCUGACGAGUGGCGAACGGGUGAGUAAUACAUCGGAACGUGCCUAGUAGUGGGGGAUAACUACUCGAAAGAGUGGCUAAUACCGCAUGAGAUCUACGGAUGAAAGCAGGGGAUCGCAAGACCUUGUGCUACUAGAGCGGCCGAUGGCAGAUUAGGUAGUUGGUGGGAUAAAAGCUUACCAAGCCGACGAUCUGUAGCUGGUCUGAGAGGACGAUCAGCCACACUGGGACUGAGACACGGCCCAGACUCCUACGGGAGGCAGCAGUGGGGAAUUUUGGACAAUGGGCGCAAGCCUGAUCCAGCAAUGCCGCGUGCAGGAUGAAGGCCUUCGGGUUGCAAACUGCUUUUGUACGGAACGAAAAGCCCUGGGUUAAUACCCUGGGGUCAUGACGGUACCGUAAGAAUAAGCACCAGCUAACUACGUGCCAGCCGCCGCCGUAA
rnacentral:rRNA from 1 species